GAUCCCGCCUUUGUCCAAGGAUGGAUUAUGGGACCCUUGCCAAUGAUGAUGCAACCCAGGAAGGUUGCUUGGGGCAAAAGGACAGCCUGCCUGCAUGCAAGUCAAAGGGGCACAGAGCUUCUGUUUGCAAGUGAAUGCGGAGCGGAGCACAAGCCCCUUGGGAUGGGAUGAAGGAGCGGUGCGAUCAUGGCCAUGUGACAAGAUAUCACACUGGCUCCUGUUAUGCUACGUUCCUUAAAAAGCCUUUUUUCUGGACAAUUGCCAGCCUCUGGGUUCAACCUCCAGCAAUGGAAAGGUAUGCUGAAUGGUUUGUGGGAUGCUCCUGAGAAUCAUUUGCACAAGUAAAGCUACUCUGUCUUUGUUUCAGACAUAGCUGAACUGGCAAAAGAGUAUUGGCAAAAGUAUUGGCAAAAGAGCUGAAUGUCCUUCUCUGGCCAGCUGCAAGGCAAAGGGGCACCUGUUUACCUGCAAGAGGACAGUAGAGUCCUAGAGGCCAGGAUCAAAUGAAGAAAAUGUAUUUUUGGAGAACUGAAACUGAUGUUUUCUUGAAAGAGGGUUAGGUAAAGGUAAUGGUUCCCCCUAACAUUUAGUCCAGGCAUGUCUGACUCUAGGGUGCGGUGCUCAUCUCCAUUUCCAAGCCGUAGAGCCAGCAUUUGUCCGAAGAUAGUUUCCGUGGUCACAUGGCCAGCGCGAGUAGACAUGGAACGCCGUUACCUUCCCACCAAGGUGGUCCCUAUUUAUCUACUCGCAUUUGCAUGCUAUUGAACUGCUAGGCUUCUGUGGUUUAACCCACAGUGCCACCACGUCCCUACGAAAGAGGAUUAGGGUUCACUUAUUGUAAAGGAAGCUUGUUGGUGGCUCCCACACAGCUCUACAUACAUUUGCAUUUCUUUCUCUCGUUCCCUCUCUUAAUAAUGUCUUGGGAGUGCCUGUUGGCCUCACCAUUCUAGAUUGUUUUAGAUGAAGCUAAUCGUUUGCCUCCUGAGGCUAGCCCUGAUUUGGAAGUGGAGACAAUCCUGGUUUGUGGACGAUUGCUGUCAGAAGCGGUGCAGAGUGUGUGUGUCCCUGUUAGACGUCAGUGCUGUAU
rnacentral:lncRNA from 1 species